GGCCUCUGGUUCGUGUUUCCUUUUUUUCCCCUUGGUUCCAGCUUCCUUCCUGUCUGUCUCGGCUUUUCGAAGGCCAGGAAGGGAGGGAGAAGACGCGUUGGAGUAAACCCGUUUGAGAUUUCGUUAGCUUUCUCCAACCUAAUGCCAGCCUGAUAUGACAGAACUACAACUUUCAUCAUCCUAAACUAGCCUCCUGAUGGGAGCUAUUGCCCUACACUUCUGGAAGGCAUUGGGAACCGGCUGAUGGCGCUGCAAGUCCCCCCUAGAGAAUGCAAGAGGUACUAACGUUCGUCAAGUUACCGGAGGGAUCCCGCAUUCGUACGCCGCGCAUAUCUUGCAGAGCAGAAAGGAAGCUGGCCGAGCUGCAGCGGGAGAGUGGAAGGAAAACAAUUCCUUCUUUCUGCAUCCUGAUCCCCAAUUUGUCGGCUGGGAGAGCAAGCUUUCUCGGCAUAUAAGCCACAAAGAAGGCGAAUCUAUUCCCACUAUUUACAUUGCGCGUCCCGUUUACGGUUCGAGAAAGCUGCGUUGAUAAAACGCUAGUUUAAGGCAUGCCAAGCCAACACCCACAGAAGAGACACUGAGGUCAUCUCCUCAUUCAUGUCCAGCUAAUCUCCCAAGAAAAGAUGACUGUGAGGCAGGAUGGGGACAGACAGACCAAAGCUCAGCUGUGCAAAGAAAAAAGUAAAGACAUACCUUCUAAAUAUGUAAAACCAAAGAUGCAAUCUCUAACUCAUUUACUUUGGGAGUUAGUCCCACUGAAUACAGUUGAACUUACUUCCUGUGGCACCAGCUUGGACAGAAUGGCAAAGGAUUAUUUCGAAACUCUUGGGAGUCCAAGAGAAUCAAAACAGGCAACUACCCUUCUACAGUGAGAAAGUAUUAAAUGAGAAACAUAUGAAUCAUCAUAAUGGAAUGAACUGAAGAUGAUGUACUGCAAAAGUGGUAGAAGGAAGGGGACUUGGGUUUUGGUGGACUUCCAGCUGCAUAGAGGCAAGAAUAGCACCAUCUGAUUCAAGAAACCAUGUUGCAUAUACAAUAUCAUCUCAUAAUACAGCUACUGGAGCUCUUUUGCAUUUGAAGAUUUCAUGACUUGCAUUAGCUGGUGACCUCAUAUUAUUCCUCUGAAUUAAAAACAAUACUUUUUUUUAAAAAAAAAAGCCCUUUCCCCACUUUUAGUGAAAAAAGAAAAGAAAUAUCUGCUGAAAAGUUGUAGAUCAUAGAUUUUCUAUCUAUAGUUUAAAGCAGGGGUCUCCAACCUUGGCAACUUUAAGCCUGACGGACUUCAACUCCCUCAACUGAGGAUUUCUGGGAGUUGAAGUCCGCCAGGCUUAAAGUUGCCAAGGUUGGAGACCCCUGCUUUAAAGUGUUUGCAGACACUUUACAAAACUCUAGCAUUGUAUGACUACUCUACAUUUCCAGUUAAAUCCCACUGGACCCUCUCAUAUUCCUUCACCAUUGACCAUUCUGGUUAGGACUUGUGGGAAUCAUGAUAUUAAAAAAUAGCUGCAUCAUCAUCCCUGCUUUACACAAAGUCUUUCUCCGUUAUGCACAUUUUAAGAUAAAACAUUUCAAAAACGUAGCUUGGAAACCAUAUGUCUCCAAGAAUUUGUUCUGGAAUAUAUCCAUUAUUUUAAGUACCAUUUUUAGAAUAAGUAACCUGAGUGAGGAUUGUAGAUUUGCAGAACCGAUACUGAAAACAGGGAUAAUAUUUCCAUUGGAAUAAUAAAGUCUGGAUUUUUUUCCCUUGAUCAUAUUCAUAAUUUUCAUUUCAUUUUUUAAAAAUAGGACAGUAUCUUGACAAAGUGUCAUCAAAACCAAUUUUGAAAUAAUUUUGCCCCAGAUUUGGUCCUGAGCUUAAGAAUAUCAGUUGGAUUCUCUUUGCUAUUUCAACAUUGAUUCUAAAUAUCCAUAUUCAGUCUCUAUGACCAUCAUUUGUGUUGUAAAUGUUGUACCUUGAUGAAGGUAUUUUUUUUCUUUUUCUUUUAUGUACACUGAGAGCAUAUGCACCAAAACAAAUUCCUUGUGUGUCCAAUCACACUUGGCCAAUAAAUUCUAUUCUAUUCUAUUCUAUUCUAUUCUAUUCUAUUCUAUUCUAUUCUAUUCUAUUCUAUUCUAUUCUAUUCUAUUCUAUUCUAUUCUAUUCUAUUAUUUUACUCAUCUGCUCAAUCUAGUUAUAAACCUGAUCCAGUCUAACACUGAUUAAAUCCAGCUACCUACUACUUUGAAGCCAAUUCUGCGAGAAGAUCUACAUUGGAAAGUUGCACAACAACCGGGUUUACCUUGCAUUUUCAAACUAUGUGGGUUUAUGUACAGAUUACUCAAAAGUAAGUCCUCUGGAUGUUGAUGGUUCUUACUUCCAGACCAGAUUUAAGGAAGGAAGGACAUCCAUAUGGAGAGAGCCUAUUUCUUAGGGGAAUUACAUUUGACCUCUAGGAAAAAUUCUUGUUGCUCUCCAUCUAAAUUGUGAAUGGAUGUUGCAGAGUAGACAGUACUAUGCAACCUCAUGGGAUUCCGUAAUUUUUUGUAGUCCCUCCAUCAGUUGUUGCUAAUUUUAAUUUUAAUGUGACAGACGGAGAAAGUUCUGUCCAACAUAUGGAGAGUAAUUAUAUUUAAUUAACUGAAUUUUAUAUCAUAAUUGUAUGAGACUUAUUCCAGUGGGAGUGAGGCCACGAAGCGUAUUAUGCAAAUGCCACAGACAGUCCAUAGCCUAAACAUGGGUCCAAUGUUCUGUGCCAGAUGGAUCUUGGAACAGGGGUGCUAUUCAGCAGGUUCUGGAGAACUGGUAGCAGAAAUUUUGUGUAGUUCGGAGAACUGGCAAAUACCACCUCUGGCUGGCCCAAGAGUGGGGUGGGAAUGGGGAUUUUGCAGUAUCCUUCCCCUGCCACACCCAUCAAGCCACGCCCACACCACACCACACCCACCACACCACUCCCACAGAACCGGUAGUAAAAAUUUUUGAAUUCCACCACUGUCUUGGAGUCUCAUUGAUGUUCUUGGCCUUCAACUUCCAUCAGCAAAGCUAGGUUGCCUAAAAUCAUCGGAGAUAUAGGAGCUAAAAACAAGAUCCAUUGCAAGUCACGAUUAUAUUAAUAUUUGUGCAUUCCUACAUAAUCAUGCAGAUCAUGGAAUCAUGUAUUUAUGUCAAGACAGCUACCCCAUGUACUUAUGUAAUUUGCAUGAUGAGAAGAUGAUGCCUAUGUUGUCACUUGUCGUCCCCCCCCAAUUGAGCAUUCACAGUUGCCACAAAUCUUAAAGUUACCCAUGCUGGGUUAAAAGAACAGAUUAGAGUUAACCUGUUGGGGUUAACUGUAGUAAACCUCUUGUAAAAGACUCCUUACUGACUCUCAUGGAAGUUGAAUCGUCCAUCAGACACAACUACCUUUCACUCCCUUUUUAUUUUUAUCAGGCAUAUUUAGCAAAGUCUUGUAAAUACUGUUGAGUAGUGACUAUCUUGGCCCAGAGAAGCAUGUAGCUGUAUAAAUUGAAACAUGAUGCUGAUAAUCAAGACUUGGAGAAUGUGUUUAGUCUACUCUUGGAUGGAUAACGAGAAUGUGUAUCAGUGAAUACUUUUACAGGCAAUGAUUGUUAAUAUAUUAGGAAAAGUUUUCAACCCCAACUCUUUGAUAGCUACUAUUUGAAUUACAUAAAGAAAAGAGGAAUGAAGAGCAUCCUGCAACUGCUAAUAGAUUUUUUUCCCCAAAACCCAGUCAUUCCACAAUGACAUAGAUCACAUAGGCAAAUGGGUUUUUGAGAAAUAGCUUACAGAAAGGCCUUUUCCUCCUAUGCCAUAGAAGGCAAAACAAACCUGGGAAGUUUUAGUAUUAGAAAAUUGUCAGAUAAAGGAGUGGACAAAUUCUUGGUGAAUUUCCAUUGGCCAUUCAAGGAAGUUAUAACAUGGAAACAAGCCACAAGGAACAAAUUGAAACUUGGUAGCUUUUUGCAUAUACA